UACGAAGGGGGCUAGCGUUGCUCGGAAUCACUGGGCGUAAAGCGCACGUAGGCGGCUUGUUAAGUCAGAGGUGAAAUCCUGGAGCUCAACUCCAGAACUGCCUUUGAUACUGAGGAUCUUGAGUUCGGGAGAGGUGAGUGGAACUGCGAGUGUAGAGGUGAAAUUCGUAGAUAUUCGCAAGAACACCAGUGGCGAAGGCGGCUCACUGGCCCGAUACUGACGCUGAGGCACGAAAGCGUGGGGAGCAAACAGG
rnacentral:rRNA from 1 species